GGGAGAUAAGUUGAAUAAACUCUAUAAAUGUUGGGAAGAUGAUACAGAUAUCGGUUUUGUGAUGAUGAAGGGCAGUGGUCGGGCAUUUUGUGCUGGUGGAGAUAUUGUUGCACUCUAUCAUUUGAUCAACCAAGGGAAGCUUGAAGAGAGUAAGAACUUCUUUAGGACACUAUAUAGUUUCAUAUACCUACUGGGC